rnacentral:rRNA from 1 species
UAAUACGAAGGGGGCUAGCGUUGUUCGGAAUUACUGGGCGUAAAGCGCACGCAGGCGGUUUGUUAAGUCAGAUGUGAAAUCCCCGGGCUCAACCUGGGAACUGCAUUUGAAACUGGCAAGCUAGAGUCUCAUAGAGGGGGGUAGAAUUCCAGGUGUAGCGGUGAAAUGCGUAGAGAUCUGGAGGAAUACCGGUGGCGAAGGCGGCCCCCUGGACGAAGACUGACGCUCAGGUGCGAAAGCGUGGGGAGCAAACAGGAUUAGAUACCCUGGUAGUCCACGCUGUAAACGAUGUCGAUUUGGAGGUUGUGCCCUUGAGGCGUGGCUUCCGGAGCUAACGCGUUAAAUCGACCGCCUGGGGAGUACGGCCGCAAGGUUA